rnacentral:rRNA from 1 species
UACAGAGGUCCCGAGCGUUUGUUCGGAUUCACUGGGCGUAAAGGGUGCGUAGGUGGUGAGGUAAGUCGGAUGUGAAAUCUCGGAGCUCAACUCCGAAACUGCAUUGGAAACUACCUCGCUCGAGGGUUGGAGGGGGGACUGGAAUACUUGGUGUAGCAGUGAAAUGCGUAGAUAUCAAGUGGAACACCAGUGGCGAAGGCGAGUCCCUGGACAACUCCUGACACUGAGGCACGAAAGCUAGGGGAGCAAACAGG